UACAGAGGUGCCAAGCGUUAGGCGGAAUCACUGGGCUUAAAGCGUGUGUAGGUGGAUGCCUAAGUACCUUGUGAAAUCCCACGGCUCAACCGUGGAACUGCUGGGUAUACUGGGUGUCUUGAGCCAACUAGGGGCGAGCGGAACAAAUGGUGGAGCGGUGAAAUGCGUAGAUAUCAUUUGGAACGCCAAUGGUGAAAACAGCUCGCUGGGGUUGUGCUGACACUGAGACACGAAAGCCAGGGGAGCGAACGGG
rnacentral:rRNA from 1 species